rnacentral:snRNA from 1 species
GCUCAUACCUUGCAGGAGAAAUACCAUGUCAUAAAAGUGGUUUUCCCAGGGGGAGGUUUAUUGCACUUUGGGUGUGCUGCUGAUCCCUAUGAUUUCCCCAAAUGUGGGGAACUCAACUGUAUAAUUUAUGUUAAUAGGGGAUUACCCUUG